rnacentral:rRNA from 1 species
GAUGAACGCUAGCGGCAGGCUUAAUACAUGCAAGUCGAGGGGCAGCACGAAUAGCAAUAUUUGGUGGCGACCGGCGCACGGGUGCGUAACACGUAUACAACCUACCUAUAACAGGGGGAUAGCCUUUCGAAAGAGAGAUUAAUACCCCGUAAUAAAUUGAGUGGCAUCACUUGAUUUUGAAAGCUACGGCGGUUAUAGAUGGGUAUGCGUCUGAUUAGCUAGUUGGUGAGGUAACGGCUCACCAAGGCGACGAUCAGUAGGGGAUCUGAGAGGACUAACCCCCACACUGGUACUGAGACACGGACCAGACUCCUACGGGAGGCAGCAGUAAGGAAUAUUGGUCAAUGGAGGCAAACUCUGAACCAGCCAUGCCGCGUGCAGGAUGACGGCCCUAUGGGUUGUAAACUGCUUUUGUACCAGAGAAAACCUACUCACGUGUGAGUAGCUGAUAGUAUGGUAAGAAUAAGCAUCGGCUAACUUCGUGCCAG